UUUAAAUGGUUUUAGAAAUACACCCAUGUGA
rnacentral:piRNA from 1 species